rnacentral:rRNA from 1 species
GACUCCUACGGGAGGCAGCAGUGAGGAAUUUUCUGCAAUGGGCGAAAGCCUGACAGAGCAAUACCGCGUGAGGGACGAAGGCCUACGGGUUGUAAACCUCUUUUCUCAAGGAGGAAGAUCUGACGUUACUUGAGGAAUAAGCAUCGGCUAACCCUGUG